rnacentral:rRNA from 1 species
UACGUAGGGUGCAAGCGUUAAUCGGAAUUACUGGGCGUAAAGCGUGCGCAGGCGGUUGUGCAAGACAGAUGUGAAAUCCCCGGCUUAACCUGGGAAUUGCAUUUGUGACUGCACGGCUAGAGUGUGUCAGAGGGGGGUAGAAUUCCACGUGUAGCAGUGAAAUGCGUAGAUAUGUGGAGGAAUACCGAUGGCGAAGGCAGCCCCCUGGGAUAACACUGACGCUCAUGCACGAAAGCGUGGGGAGCAAACAGG